GAGACUACGCAACUAAGUAUGUUACCCCAAACUACGUCACCGAGGCUUCAGCUUAUUACACCACCAAAGCUGUCGAAUACUACACAGGAGCGCCCAAGUACGAUAGAAAUUAGUCGAGUGAGCUUCUCCGACACCCAACACGGCAGCCCCGAAGAUUCGAAUAAACUUCGCUUCAAACAGUGGAACGGCAAACAGUGAAGAAUUCUACUGCAAUCGCGUCGAAUUGAAUAGCAAAGAUAACACAUUUGUACGUAUACACAGCACCGUUAAACUUGACAUGGUUGAUCGGAAAGCAAAACUUAAUGAUGGCGGUACCAUCACCUACGACGAAUGCGUGAUUGCCACAGGUGUUAAACGAAAACCUUUUCCAAUCUCUGAGCGGUGCCCUUAAAGAUGUCCACGAGCACGUAGCGCUGUUCCGCAACAUCGAUGGCGGUAACAUAGGUCGAGUUCUCCGUUCUCCUAAAUAUUUGAGCCAAUGGACAACCGAGAAGGUGAAAGCUGAAGGUGUUAAUGGCUUGCGCAAAGCUAAUGUGGAGGGUGCAAUUUUCGAAGACUACAAGGUCGCAUUGACCUUAAACAAUGGUCAAAAGCAGAUUUAAACUGACCAUGUCGUCGCUGCUGUCGGUUGGGACGUAAACACGGAUUUGACUGUUGCUUUUGGUGUGGAAAUAGAGGAGAGGACAUUUUGGUGGUUAUUGAGUGAAUACCGAGCUUGAAGCACGAUCGAACGUUUGGUUGACUGGAGAUGUUACGUUCUUUUGUGAUAUCAAAUUGGGUCGCUGUCGUAUGGAACAUGAUCACCAUGCUGUUGUAUCAGGGCAAUUGGCUGGAGAGAACAAUACUGGCAAAGAAACAUGGAUGAAAAACUCCAGUGUACUGUUACCGAGCGCAUUCUUCGUAUUAUCGGUUGAUGUGAGGUCGUGAUGUUGCCGUUUGCCGUAUCGUUGAAGGCUGGGUCGAUCACUGGUGUACCGAUGUCUCCUGGGUAUGGCGGACACCAAAGCACCACGCCACCGCCUUACUACACAACGACAACAUUCGCAAAAACCGGUUACUACACUGAGGCACAAUAUUACUACACCACCAAGGCUCCAGAGUAUUAUACCGCAGCUGAUGCUGCCCCGAGUUACAUCAUCAAACGUACUACACCGAGGCUCUAAAGUACUAAAACCACCAAGGCUCUAAAGUACUAAA